UUCCUUCGCCAGCGUUAUGCCUUUUUGGCCCUCGAGUUGCUCUGUAAAUUUAGCUUUUUGUAUGCAUUAUACGGUAAAAUGGCAUUUUCCCCCUACUGUGCAAUAGAAAUCUCUCGAUUUCUUCGGGAACCCGCACUCAGCUUCGCCAUCUCUCUCCAUCUCUACUAUCUUCGAUCUCUACUUCGCGCUCUUCAAUCGUUGCUUCGUCAUCUCUUCCUCCGUGCUUCCUCCGUGAUUUCUUCACCAGCAACUUUGCUCCAGAUCUUUCCAACUGAAAAAACCCAGAUCAUCAUCAUCUAUUCCUCAUCACCACAGUUUCCACCGGACCGCUGAUUCCGGUUGUGUGUGAACCGAUCAAACUGCAGAAAACACCUCAAGUCAAUUUUCUGAGGCUUGGGUUCAAUUUCGUUAGGCUUAAUUCCUUUCCUCGGUGUGCUGGUCAGAAUAUCAAAUUCUUCAGUUUGUGCAGACCAAGUGUUUGUUCUUCUACUUUCCGUUUUCUGGGAUGGCUUCUCAACACUGGAAGAAGCUCAAUUCUGGUGGAAAUUGGAAAACUUUGUGGGGGAUUUCAAGGUGUUUCUGAGAGGUGAAUGUUUUGGAAGGUUGUGAUGCACUCAUAGAAAGGAUACGAUUUCUUUAGAAAAUUGACAAUUGACUCAUCAAUCGUACCCAGUGCUCAAGGCUCCCGCUUUACGCAGGGUCUGAGAGAGGUGAACGUCGGCUAGCUUUACCCCCAUUUUACGUUAGCUUGUGUGAAAAAAAAAAUGAAAACCCGAGAUAUCAGGUGUUCUGUUGCUUCAUUCCUUCUCAUUGGCUCUUCAUAAGAGGAGGGGAUGAGAAGAGUAUGGAAAUGGGAGGGCAGACAAUCCACCUCCUUUCUCCGUUGUUAUAACUGGCAUUACCCCUUGGCCAAUCAUUUGAUAAUCAUAACCUAUCCAAUCUCCCUGUAUAUAAACUUCUGAUGCUCGUGUUUUCCCUUAUUUGCCUUUCCCAUGCCAUCCAAACAGCUCAGUUCUAUGAAGCCUGAAGCUAGCCUACUGUCUGCCUAAACCGAAAGAUGAACCAGCAUAUGACAUAGUCAUGGCCCACCUUGACGAAUCUACUUAAUAAGUCCAAGAAACCAAAAUUACCAAGCUUCCCUAGAACCUAUAUACCAGCAUGCCCGCCCAUGUUGCUGUUUUUCCUGUUACACUUUAACGUUAUGAAGCCAUGUUACUUCAAUGUUUGCUACGCAAAAUUUGGAAACUCAAAAAUUGUGGCGACCAUUUCUCUGACUUGAACAUCAUAUUGGUUGAUGCAAAGAAGCUUGAGAGAUGGAUUGCCACACAUUUUUUCUUCAAUAGGGGAACAAUUUUCAGGGAGUUGUCAGAUUUUCAUGCACACAUUCAGUGAUAUUUCUCGAUUAUUCCAAUUGUUCUUUCGCAUUUUUCACAGUUUCUGAACAAAAAUUCUCCACAAUGCUGCUGAUUUGCUUAUGGCGGUGUUAAGGCAGAUCAGAGAAAUCAACAUUCUCAGUGGUCAAAAAUGUUACCCGAGGUGUUUAUGGGUCUCGAGUCAAUCAGUGGUGUGCCUUCAGCUUUGUGACUGAGAGCUUUGGCAUGUGCUCGGGAUCUAGAUGAAAGGUUGUGACAGUUCGUGCUGGCCUAGCUGAAAUUUUUGUGAUCAUAAAACUGUCAUGUGAUAUUACUGUUGUGAAUGUUAUGCAAGGAAUAAAGUUUGUACAAGGUUGCUGAUCGACCUUUGCUGCCACCAACAUAAUGUAUGUAAAAAGUUGUUGAUCAACGAUAAUAGGUAGCUUGCAAAUUUUUCUUAAUGUAUCCUAUUAAAUGGAUUUGAGGAGCUGCGAUAUUGCUUAAUUAUUUUAACAAUGUACAUUAGUAGCUUUUAUUUUUUCACAUUGUAACCGAGAAGCAUGUAUAUCAUGAAAAAUGAAAGUAGUUCUCAAGUGA